GGGGGGGGGGGGGGGGGGGGGGGGGGGGGGGGGGGGGGGGGGGGGGGGGGGGGGGGGGGGGGGGGGGGGCCGGGCCGCGGCGCGCGCGCGGAGGAGCUCGGGGAGGGGCGGGGCGGACACCCCCGCGAGCGCGCGCUGCGGCUCCUGACGCGCGUGUCACGGCCCGCCACGCCCCCCGGCGGGGCCACGCCCCUACCGCGCGAGGGCGGAGAGCAGGUGCCAUUUUAAGUGCGGGCAGGGCGUUCCUUCGCUUACCCCGCCUGCUGGGGCCAGUGGCUUGACCAGUGGGUCCCUUUGGUUUAAUUUUUUUUUUUCAGUGUUCUUUUUUUGCUUUUUAUUUUAGCUCUUCUGUAAGCGCGGGCUGUUCGCGGUGGGGUCCCUCCGCCUCUGUAGCGCGCUCUGGUUGCCCCGGUCUCCGGGAGGGCCGGGGGUCGCUGUUGUUUCCCUGCCGGGGCUGCCGGGGCUUCUCCCACGGGGGGGGGGGGGGGGGGGGGGGGGGGGGGGGGGGGGGGGGGGGCGCCCAAGAUGGCGGCGGGCGGGCAGCUCCUGUGCGCGGCCUCGCUGAAAAGACCCAGGCGUUUCUAGUGUUCCUGUCCUUUUCCCUUGUCUUAUCUGCCCAGCUGAGGGCCCGGAGUGUUGCCCGGGCAGCACGGGUGUCGAUAGCUUCACCCUGAGGGAAUCCCCCCCCCCGGGGGGGGGGGGGGGGGGGCACCCUGAGGGAAUCCCCCCCCCCACCUGAGCUGCUGGGCCGGGCCGGUCCUGGCGGCGCAGCAGCCUCGGCCGCCGCAGGAGCGGAGGACUGGGAGGUUUUGCAUGCCUGGGGCGCGGGGAGGCCCUGUGCUGGAGCCAGGGCGGGACACCACGCGUCUGCCGCUCUUGGGGGAAGACAAGUGCCUAUUACUGUCUGUUUGGGUGACCCGCGUGGCCGCAAGGCGUUUGGGAACACGUGGAGUGAGUUUGCAAUGGAGGAGAAGGCGCAUUGUUCCGCAUGUGAGGUUUGUGUCUGUCAAGUGGAGGCUACGCUGGGAAAUGGGUCCGUGGAACCAGUGCUGACAGAAGCUGUGAUACCAGAUUCAGAAGCUCAGCCACAGACACCUCCAUCUGAAAUUCUUGGCCAGAGUUUAUUAGUUCCAGAUUACCUGCCAAUGCUCAUGGAACCCAUAACAUAGGAGGGCAUUUUUUAUGAGGUACUAUUGAUUUCAAUUUACAAACUGAACAUAACAAUAGAUGAAGCAUGCACUCAAUCAAGUGCUGUGGAUUCCAGUUGCUG
rnacentral:lncRNA from 12 species